rnacentral:rRNA from 1 species
AGAGUUUGAUCCUGGCUCAGGAUGAACGCUGGCGGCGUGCUUAACACAUGCAAGUCGGACGAACCAUAUUCGUAUGGUUAGUGGCAGACGGGUGCGUAACACGUAGGUGACCUGCCCUCGAGUGGGGAAUAACUCGACUAACGUCGAGCUAAUACCGCAUAGGUUCGUUGAUUCGGUUCAGCGAGUAAAGCAGCAAUGCGCUUGGGGAUGGGCCUGCGGCGGAUUAGGUAGUUGGUGGGGUAAGGGCCUACCAAGCCGAUGAUCCGUAGGGGGCGUGAGAGCGUGGCCCCCCACACUGGAACUGAGACACGGUCCAGACUCCUACGGGAGGCAGCAGUGAGGAAUCUUGCGCAAUGGGGGAAACCCUGACGCAGCAACGCCGCGUGAGUGAGGAAGGUCUUCGGAUCGUAAAGCUCUGUCGGGUGGAAAGAAAUGUAUGGGGUUAAUAGCCUUCAUACUUGACGGUACCACCAAAGGAAGCACCGGCUAACUCCGUGCCAGCAGCCGCGGUAAUACGGGGGGUGCAAGCGUUGUUCGGAAUUAUUGGGCGUAAAGAGCGUGUAGGCGGCUUGGUAAGUCAGAUGUGAAAGCCCUGGGCUUAACCCAGGAAGUGCAUUUGAAACUGCCUAGCUUGAGUAGGGGAGAGGGAAGUGGAAUUCCUGGUGUAGAGGUGAAAUUCGUAGAUAUCAGGAGGAACACCGGUGGCGAAGGCGACUUCCUGGCCCUAUACUGACGCUGAGACGCGAGAGCGUGGGUAGCAAACAGGAUUAGAUACCCUGGUAGUCCACGCCGUAAACGAUGUUCACUAGGUGUUGGGGGUAUUGACCCUCUCAGUGCCGGAGCUAACGCAUUAAGUGAACCGCCUGGGGAGUACGGUCGCAAGACUAAAACUCAAAUGAAUUGACGG